GAAAUGCGAUAAGUAGUGUGAAUUGCAGAAUUCAGUGAAUCAUCGAAUCUUUGAACGCACAUUGCGCCCUAUGGUAUUCCGUAGGGCAUGCCUGUUCGAGCGUCAUUUACACCUUCAAGCCUUGCUUGGUGUUGGGUGACUGUGGCCCCUUUGGGGCCACUCGCCUUAAAGUCAUUGGCGGCCGGUUCGUUGGCUUUGUAGCGCAGCACAAUUGCGUCCUCGAAGCCGCUGGACCAGCUCCCAGAAGCUAAUUUUAAAUGUUUGACCCCGAAUCAGGUAGGGAUACCCGCUGAACUUAAGC
rnacentral:misc_RNA from 1 species